AAGAAGCUCCCGCUUAUGGAUGAGCCCGCGUCCCAUUAGCUAGUUGGUGAGGUAACGGCCCACCAAGGCAACGAUGGGUAGCCGGCCUGAGAGGGUGAUCGGCCACACUGGGACUGAGACACGGCCCAGACUCCUACGGGAGGCAGCAGUGGGGAAUCUUCCGCAAUGGGCGCAAGCCUGACGGAGCAACGCCGCGUGAGUGAUGAAGGCCUUCGGGUCAUAAAACUCUGUCUUUAGGGAAGAG
rnacentral:rRNA from 1 species